AUUGAACGCUGGCGGCAGGCCUAACACAUGCAAGUCGAGCGAGCUGAGGACGGGUGAGUAAUGUAUGGGGACUGCCCGAUAGAGGGGGAUGACAACUGGAAACGGUGGCUAAUACCGCAUACUAUCGGAUAACCCAUAUGGUAUUGGCUAGUAGGUGGGGUAAAGGCUCACCUAGGCUACGAUCCCUAGCUGGUCUGAGAGGAUGAUCAGCCACACUGGUACUGAGACACGGCCCAGACUCCUACGGAGGCAGCAGUGGGAAAUAUUGCGCAAUGGGGGAAAGCCUGAUGCUGCAAUGCCGCGUGUAUGAAGAAGGCCUUAGGGUUGUAAAGUACUUUCAGCGGGGAGGCGGUACCCGCAGAAGAAGCACCGGCUAACUCCGUGCCAGCAGCCGCGGUAAUAC
rnacentral:rRNA from 1 species